rnacentral:rRNA from 1 species
UACGGGGGGGGCAAGCGUUGUUCGGAAUUACUGGGCGUAAAGCGCGCGUAGGCGGCUCUUCAAGUCGAGUGUGAAAGCUCCAGGCUUAACCUGGGAACUUGCGCUCGAUACUGUUGAGCUAGAGUGUGGAAGGGGCUACUGGAAUUCCGUGUGUAGCGGUGAAAUGCGUAGAUAUACGGAGGAACACCAGCGGCGAAAGGCGGGUGAGCUGGGCCAACACUGACGCUGAUGUGCGAAAGCUAGGGAGAAGCGGG